rnacentral:tRNA from 1 species
GGCUCGAUGGUGUAGUUGGUCAUCACGUUCGCCUCACAAUCCGUGCAGCACGCGAAAGGUCCCGAGUUCGAGCCUCGGUUGAGUCA